rnacentral:rRNA from 1 species
GACGAACGCUGGCGGCGUGCCUAAUACAUGCAAGUAGAACGCACAGUUUAUACCGUAGCUUGCUACACCAUAGACUGUGAGUUGCGAACGGGUGAGUAACGCGUAGGUAACCUGCCUGGUAGCGGGGGAUAACUAUUGGAAACGAUAGCUAAUACCGCAUAAUAUUAAUUAUUGCAUGAUAAUUAAUUGAAAGGUGCAAUUGCACCACUACCAGAUGGACCUGCGUUGUAUUAGCUAGUAGGUGAGGUAACGGCUCACCUAGGCGACGAUACAUAGCCGACCUGAGAGGGUGAGCGGCCACACUGGGACUGAGACACGGCCCAGACUCCUACGGGAGGCAGCAGUAGGGAAUCUUCGGCAAUGGACGAAAGUCUGACCGAGCAACGCCGCGUGAGUGAAGAAGGUUUUCGGAUCGUAAAGCUCUGUUGUAAGAGAAGAACGGGUGUGAGAGUGGAAAGUUCACACUGUGACGGUAUCUUACCAGAAAGGGACGGCUAACCACGUG